AAAAUCAUAGUUAGAAUCUUGAUACGAAUAUUCAACCAUGAUCUGAUAUCUAAAAAAGAAAAAUAAUCAAUUAGUAAAACAAGUUGGAGGCCAGAUCUCCAUACCUCAGAUCCUGCAGAUGUCCCAAAUUCUGAUCAUAGCUGUGCACGCAUCCGGCCUCUGCUGAUAUCCACACAGAGAUGUCUAAUCAGAGCACUGAGAUCACUGGUGUGCUAGCACCUUAUAGAUAUCACUUCUCAUCAUUGGAUCU
rnacentral:lncRNA from 1 species